rnacentral:rRNA from 1 species
ACGAACGCUGGCGGUGUGCUUCACACAUGCAAGUCGAACGGGGGUAGCAAUACUCCAGUGGCGGACGGGUGAGUAACGCGUGGGAAUCUGCCCUAAAGUGGGGGAUAGCAGACCGAAAGGUCUAUUAAUACCGCAUAUGCCGUAAGGUAAAAGGAGUAAUCCGCUUUUGGAUGAGCCUGCGUCCGAUUAGCUAGUUGGUGGGGUAAAAGCCUACCAAGGCUACGAUCGGUAGCUGGUCUGAGAGGAUGAUCAGCCACAAUGGGACUGAGACACGGCCCAUACUCCUACGGGAGGCAGCAGUGGGGAAUUUUACGCAAUGGGCGAAAGCCUGACGUAGCGACACCGCGUGAGCGAAGAAGCCCUUUGGGGUGUAAAGCUCUGUCGGCUGGAACGAAAAAAAUGACGGUACCAGCAAAGGAAGCAUCGGCUAACUACGU